rnacentral:rRNA from 1 species
UGCGUAGGCGGACUAAUAAGUCAGUGGUGAAAUCUCUCGGCUCAACCGGGAAACUGCCAUUGAUACUGUUAGUCUUGAGUUCGGUUGAGGUAGGCGGAAUGUGUAAUGUAGCGGUGAAAUGCUUAGAUAUUACACAGAACACCAAUUGCGUAGGCAGCUUACUAGACCGACACUGACGCUGAGGCACGAAAGCGUGGGUAACGAACAGGAUUAGAUACCCUGGUAGUCC